UUCGCCCUUAGAGUUUGAUCCUGGCUCAGAUUGAACGCUGGCGGCAUGCCUUACACAUGCAAGUCGAACGGCAGCACGGGGGCAACCCUGGUGGCGAGUGGCGAACGGGUGAGUAACAUAUCGGAACGUGCCCUGGAGUGGGGGAUAACUAGUCGAAAGACUAGCUAAUACCGCAUACGAUCUAUGGAUGAAAGUGGGGGAUCGCAAGACCUCAUGCUCGUGGAGCGACCGAUAUCUGAUUAGCUAGUUGGUGGGGUAAAGGCCUACCAAGGCAUCGAUCAGUAGCUGGUCUGAGAGGACGACCAGCCACACUGGGACUGAGACACGGCCCAGACUCCUACGGGAGGCAGCAGUGGGGAAUUUUGGACAAUGGGCGCAAGCCUGAUCCAGCAAUGCCGCGUGAGUGAAGAAGGCCUUCGGGUUGUAAAGCUCUUUUGUCAGGGAAGAAACGGGCCGGGUUAAUACCCUGGUCUAAUGACGGUACCUGAAGAAUAAGCACCGGCUAACUACGUGCCAGCAGCCGCGGUAAUACGUAGGGUGCAAGCGUUAAUCGGAAUUACUGGGCGUAAAGCGUGCGCAGGCGGUUGUGCAAGACCGAUA
rnacentral:rRNA from 1 species